CCUACGGGAGGCAGCAGUAGGGAAUAUUGCUCAAUGGGGGACACCCUGAAGCAGCAACGCCGCGUGGAGGAUGAAGGUUUUCGGAUUGUAAACUCCUUUUGUUAGAGAAGAUAAUGACGGUAUCUAACGAAUAAGCACCGGCUAACUCCGUGCCAGCAGCCGCGGUAAUACGGAGGGUGCAAGCGUUACUCGGAAUCACUGGGCGUAAAGAGCGCGUAGGCGGGAGAGCAAGUCAGAUGUGAAAUCCUAUGGCUUAACCAUAGAACUGCAUUUGAAACUGUUAUUCUAGAGUAUGGGAGAGGUAGGUGGAAUUCUUUGUGUAGGGGUAAAAUGCGUAGAGAUCAAGAGGAAUACUCAUUGCGAAGGCGACCUGCUAGAACAUAACUGACGCUGAUGGGCGAAAGCGUGGGGAGCAAACAGGAUUAGAUGCCCGAGUAGUC
rnacentral:rRNA from 1 species